rnacentral:rRNA from 1 species
UACGGAGGGUGCAAGCGUUAAUCGGAAUUACUGGGCGUAAAGAGUGCGUAGGUGGUUGUUUAAGUCAGAUGUGAAAGCCCUGGGCUCAACCUAGGAAUUGCAUUUGAUACUGGAUGACUAGAGUGCAGUAGAGGGAAGUGGAAUUUCCGGUGUAGCGGUGAAAUGCGUAGAUAUCGGAAGGAACACCAGUGGCGAAAGCGGCUUCCUGGACUGUAACUGACACUGAGGCACGAAAGCGUGGGGAGCAAACAGG